rnacentral:rRNA from 1 species
AACUGAAGAGUUUGAUCCUGGCUCAGAUUGAACGCUGGCGGCAUGCCUUACACAUGCAAGUCGAACGGCAGCACGGGGGCAACCCUGGUGGCGAGUGGCGAACGGCAUACGCUCCACGGAGGAAAGCAGGGGACCGCAAGGCCUUGCACUAUGGGAGCGGCCGAUGCCCGAUUAGCUAGUUGGUGAGGUAAAGGCUCACCAAGGCGACGAUCGGUAGCUGGUCUGAGAGGACGACCAGCCACACUGGGACUGAGACACGGCCCAGACUCCUACGGGAGGCAGCAGUGGGGAAUUUUGGACAAUGGGCGAAAGCCUGA